ACUUUGAUUUACCAAUUGGCUGUAUACCAUAUUUAUUGUGUAUUAAUAUAUUUAGUUAGUUAUAUGUUUAUUAAUUGAACUAUUCUUUCUAUUAUCCUUUUUAAUGAAUAUCCAUUUAUUAUGAUGUAUAAUUAUACUACAUUCUUUUCCAGUUUCAUGUGGUUAUGUUACGCAACUUUUAUUGCACUUUGCUUGCCUUAUUCGUUUGCAUAGAUUAUAUCCCCAUUUGACUGAUUUAUAAUUAUAUGUUCUUAUUGUUCAUUUAUAAAUCAAAGACACUAGCGAAGAUGACAGAAAGAAAAUCACCUUUCAUUUGCUAUAAAUUGAUUAUAUCUUAUUAUACAUGAUUUAUUUGCUUGAUAGGUGCCUAUGUUUGUUCCAGUCACAUUUGUAGUCAUCACGUUAUUACUGGUUGCCAUGUCGUUUUAUUCUUCACCAAGAGAGUGUGUGAUUGGUUUUCUGAUCCUCAUUUCCGGUAUACCCGUUUAUUUAGUUGGGGUACGUUGGAAAAAUAAACCGCAUUAUAUUGCACAAGGAAUGGAGAACAUGACCAUUUUCUUACAAAAACUUUUCCUGGUGGUUCAACAAGAAACAAAAACAUACUAAUGUGGAAUCGAUACUACAAGAUACUAGACUUGCCUUGGAUUUUUUUAUAUACUAUGAAUCAUUCGUUUGCAUGUUAAUAAAUGUGCGAGUGCGAGCGAGGCCAGUUUUACACAGGUUGCUGCGAACAUUGAAAUUAUGAGGUGUUUUAUAGAUCACACGCCACUGAUAUAAAAGCAGUAUUCGGAACAUUUCUUAAGUAAUGUAAAAAAACCGUAUGCAAAUUAAAUGAUGACAAAUGAAAGAAAAUGCAUGAUAAUAUAUAUACUGAAUGACGUGAACCAACUGCCAAUUAUUAUUAAAUAUAAUUAAUUACAUUUUAAUGAAUUGUAUUUUAUUGAGUUAUAUAGAUGUUAUAUGGUAUAUUUAGGAGGUGUUGUAAAUAGUAAACUCAGAUAUAAAAAAAAAA